UGCUUAAUUGAUGCUGCGGGGAGCACACACUCUGAUAAUAAGACAAUGAUGACAGAAUAGGUAUCAGGAAAGGCUUUUAUUGCUUAUAAGCGCCAUCGGCUUCCUUCCAAGAGAGAUUGCUGCUUUGUGGUAUAGUUUUUUCUUUUAAUAGUAGUGUGCUAAUGGUUUUUAUUCUAACUCGGCCAGCACUGAGUGUCUCCAGGAAAAAGGGGUUCCAUAAGAAGUGGCAUCCUCCUCCAGUUGAAAGAUUCUUGGGCUGAUGGAGUAAGUGAGUGACGGAGUGGGUUGCCAACUGUAGUUACUCCACUCAAUGCGGAAUGGCUGCAGGGAAUAUAUUCUGAUGUGCCCAAAGAAGUCUGCCCAGGGUGAAACAAAUACCUUUGAGGUUUAAAUCAGAAAACAUAAACACAUUUCCCUUAUAGGAAGAAGUUGUAUUUAAAAGCCUCUGUUUAAUUUAUUCAGAAACUACACGAUUUUUGUUGCUAUAUUUUGUUAUAAAGGAAGAGAGGCUGUUUCUACAGGUGUCAUAGAAAAGUCGAUGCUGAGCCAUGGAUUAUUGGAUCUCAUAGAACCACGGAGACUUGGCAGUAAAAUCCUUCCAAAGGCAGACGGUGUUCCUAGGUUUGGAAACGUACCUCCCAGGGGAAGUGAGCUGAGGAACAUUUUAUGCAUCAUUCAUCCGGUUAUGAGCCCUUGCUGCUCCAUCUCUGCACAAGAUGUUGAAACAACAGCAACAACAAAAAUUGUUUAUAAUGUGUAUUCUAACUUUGGAUCAUCUGGUUAA
rnacentral:lncRNA from 1 species